CCUACGGGGGGCAGCAGUGAGGAAUAUUGGUCAAUGGCCGGAAGGCUGAACCAGCCAAGCCGCGUGAAGGACGAAGGUGCCAAGCAUUGUAAACUUCUUUUGUCAAGGGACAAAAUCAGGCUCGAGAGUCUGACCGAGGGUACUUGAAGAAAAAGCAUCGGCUAACUCCGUGCCAGCAGCCGCGGUAAUACGGAGGAUGCGAGCGUUAUCCGGAUUUAUUGGGUUUAAAGGGUGCGUAGGGGGGCUGUUAAGUCAGCGGUAAAAGCCAGGGGAUCAACCCCGGAGAGCCGUUGAAACUGGCAGUCUUGAGAUGUCGAGAGGUAUGCGGAAUGCGCAGGGUAGCGGGGAAAUGCUUAGAUAUUGCGCAGAACUCCGAUUGCGAAGGCAGCAUACCGGCGGCGAUCUGACGCUGAGGCACGAAAGCGUGGGUAUCGAACAGGAUUAGAUACCCCUGUAGUC
rnacentral:rRNA from 1 species